GAAAGAACCCAGAGAAUUGCUUCCUAUGCUCUUGUGAUAGUAAUGAAGGACUGAAGGAGAUGACAAAACUUGGGGUCCUGUCAGUUUAGAAACAGCUUGGAUCUAGUGGGAAACAUGCAAAAGCUGAUGGCAUAUGAUGUCGCAGGGAGACCUGGAGUAUCCCCAAAGUUGUUCUUGUUAAGACCUUCUGUACAAAGGAAAUUACACACUUCUGCCUUUUCCAGUGGCCUGUAAUUUUUGAAAGAUGAAGCUGACUGAAAUGCCUUGAGCCAAAUGUUGACUUCCAAAGGACCUUGAGGACAAUCUGGGGGACUUCUACUGUGUGCUUCCCCUGGCUUAACUGUGAACUAGGCAUCUACUACACACUCUUGUCUGGGCUA
rnacentral:lncRNA from 1 species